UUGACCUCGGAUCAGGUAGGAAUACCCGCUGAACUUAAGCAUAUCAAUAAGCGGAGGAAAAGAAACCAACAGGGAUUGCCCUAGUAACGGCGAGUGAAGCGGCAACAGCUCAAAUUUGAAAUCUGGCUUUCGGGCCCGAGUUGUAAUUUGUAGAGGAUGAUUUUGAUGCGGUGCCUUCCGAGUUCCCUGGAACGGGACGCCAUAGAGGGUGAGAGCCCCGUCUGGUUGGAUGCCAAAUCUCUGUAAAUCUCCUUCGACGAGUCGAGUAGUUUGGGAAUGCUGCUCUAAAUGGGAGGUAUAUGUCUUCUAAAGCUAAAUACCGGCCAGAGACCGAUAGCGCACAAGUAGAGUGAUCGAAAGAUGAAAAGCACUUUGAAAAGAGAGUUAAAAAGUACGUGAAAUUGUUGAAAGGGAAGCGUUUAUGACCAGACUUGGGCUUGGUUAAUCAUCUGGGGUUCUCUCCAGUGCACUUUUCCAGUCCAGGCCAGCAUCAGUUUUCGCCGGGGGAUAAAGGCUUCGGGAAUGUGGCUCCCCUCGGGGAGUGUUAUAGCCCGUUGUGUAAUACCCUGGUGGGGACUGAGG
rnacentral:rRNA from 1 species